GUCACAUUGAGCAACAGUCUCCCCAUAGUGAGCCCCACCGUCCAUAUUGGAGGUCCUACCUUUAGCCUUGUUGUGGAAGGAUUGCGCCAUGUGGUUUGUCCUGGGCCUGGUGACGUGGAGUCUCUGCUUCUUAGGCCUCAGGUCUGUAGGCCUCACUUCCCUGUGGCUCAUUGUCCGGCUGUCGGUGUGCUUCCAGGUCCCGUUCCUGUCCAUCUGGUUUCUGGAGCAGAAAAAAACGCUCCCAGAGGCAUAAGGGGGUUUCAAUGUCCUCAGGUAGCACCAAGAAGUCACCAAACCUUUCUCCAGAGGUGCUGCUCAGAUCGACCGUGGGGCAGUGGGAUGGUCUCCCCCAGGUUGUGGUCCUCUCAGCAGGUCCCUUUUGGAUGGGCAGCAGAGGUCAGUUCUUUUUUGACAGGAUAUAGGGAAAUGAACCAAAGCUAUUCUAGCAGUCUGUCUUAUAUCGCAGGGACAGUAUGCCCAUAGUAGCUGUUAUUAUUUUAUUCUUUUGAGGCUGUCAUGUAUGUGGAGUUGAGUUGCAGUUUCUGUUCUGUAAGAAGGAAGCAAGAAGAGGGUAAAUUAUUUAGGGUUAGGCAGAAUGGGGAGAGAGGUAAGAGAUGGGGGAGAGUAAUUAGGGUUAGGAGGGGAUGAGGGGGUGGGGAGAUAGGUAGGAGGAUAUAAGUAAGGUUGGGGUCAGGCAGUAAAAGGGGGGAGGGUUGGGAUUAGGCAAGUUGGGUAAGGUAAGGGAGGGAUGGAGAAAGUGAGGUUGAUGAGAGGAAGUUAGAGAAUGGAUAGGAUGAGAAGGAGAGGAGACCUCGAAAGAGAGAGGGUUAGGGUUAGGGUUAGGAGGAGGGUGAGAACGGGGUCCCUGUUUUUUCCAGGGCCCCGGAGCUGCACAGUCCAUCCCCCGGGCUCCUGUUCCCCUCCUGUACCCCCACUGUAGUUCACCCGAGGUCAUGGGAGGACGGCGCCCCCUCUUCCCGUAUCGGACCUCGGUCCACUCAUUUUGAGCCCUGUGGCUCAUCACUGGUGUCGCCUUUGAUAUAUAUUAAUAAACCCAAACAAAACAUUCA
rnacentral:lncRNA from 1 species